AAACACAAAAUAUUCUAAAUACAAAAGUGUCCAUUUUGUGUUAUUUCUCAUGUGCUAUAUAAUAGUUGAAGGCUAAUUAGCAGUAUGACUCCAAAGUGAUACUGCCAGUCUCCUUCAGACAGUU